rnacentral:rRNA from 1 species
UACGAAGGGGGCUAGCGUUGCUCGGAAUCACUGGGCGUAAAGCGCACGUAGGCGGCUUUUUAAGUCAGGGGUGAAAUCCUGGAGCUCAACUCCAGAACUGCCUUUGAUACUGGGAAGCUUGAGUCCGGAAGAGGUGGGUGGAACUCCGAGUGUAGAGGUGAAAUUCGUAGAUAUUCGGAAGAACACCAGUGGCGAAGGCGGCUCACUGGUCCGGUACUGACGCUGAGGUGCGAAAGCGUGGGGAGCAAACAGG